rnacentral:rRNA from 1 species
UGCGUAGUCGGUUUCUUAAGUCAGUGGUGAAAUUUUGUGGCUCAACCAUAAGCGUGCCAUUGAAACUGAGAGACUUGAGUGCGGACGAGGAAGGCGGAAUGUGUUAUGUAGCGGUGAAAUGCAUAGAUAUAACACAGAACACCAAUUGCGAAGGCAGCUUUCCAGACCGUAACUGACGCUGAUGCACGAAAGCGUGGGUAGCGAACAGGAUUAGAUACCCUGGUAGUCC